rnacentral:misc_RNA from 1 species
AUCCUUUGUAAAUCUGCUGGGUGUUUCCUUUUUAGCCUUCUUUCCAUAUUUGAGGUGUUGAUCAUUUCCGCAGCUAGCCGGUUUGGGUAUGAAAGAAUUCUUUCUUUGUAUCUUUCCGCAUAACUGCUAAUUACUUCUUUGACCGUUGGUAUUCCCAGGUCCCUCCGUUCUCGUUUCUAACGUACCAUGGGGCGUUUACUAUCGUUCUAAGAAUUUUAGCUUGUAUUGUCUCUAUUUUGUUUAUAUGGCUCAUUGCUUCUGUCCCCCAUAGUGGUAUUCCGUACGUCCAGAUUGGUUUUAUGAUCGUUUUGUAUAUUUUUAAUUUAUUUUCUAUGCUUAAUUUGGAUUUUCGACUUGUUAGCCAAUUCAUUUGUCUCCUUGUUGUCUGUAUUUUGUCUAUUAUUGAUUUAGUAUGCUGUUUCCAUUUGAGUCGUGUAUCUAAGUGGUGUCCUAGGCCCAAUACUAUACACAUUAUACACGGCGAACAUACCAACAACUACCAACAGCACAGUAUUGACAUUCGCGGACGACACAGCUAUACUAAUCAGGCAUACUAACCCAGAAACGGCAGUCAAAAUACUACAAGAACAUAUCAUAAAAAUAGAAAAUUGGCUACAAGAAAAACAAAUAAAAGCAAACCCCAAUAAAUGCAACCAUAUUACAUUCACGCUACGAAAAAAGAUACCACCAAACAUCCUAUUGAACGGCACGCAUAUAACACAAACUAAGCAUGUCAAAUACCUAGGACUUCACUUAGAUACACAACUCACAUGGAAACUACAUAUCAAAUCAAUAGUAGAAAAAAUACAGAAAACAAGGAGACAAAUGCAUUGACUAAGAAGCCGAAAAUCCAAAUUAAGCAUAGAAAAUAAAUUAAAAAUAUAUAAAACGAUCAUAAGACCAAUCUGGACGUACGGAAUACCGUUAUGG